rnacentral:tRNA from 1 species
GGGUACAGCUCAGUGGCAGAGUGCAUGCUUAGCAUGCACGAGGGCCUGGGGUUAAUUCCCAGUACCUCCA